UACAGAGGGUGCGAGCGUUUGUUCGGAAUUAUUGGGCGUAAAGAGCUCGUAGGCGGUCUGUCGCGUCGGCUGUGAAAACUCGGGGCUCAACUCCGAGCUUGCAGUCGAUACGGGCAGGCUAGAGUUCGGCAGGGGAGACUGGAAUUCCUGGUGUAGCGGUGAAAUGCGCAGAUAUCAGGAGGAACACCGGUGGCGAAGGCGGGUCUCUGGGCCGAUACUGACGCUGAGGAGCGAAAGCGUGGGGAGCGAACAGG
rnacentral:rRNA from 1 species